rnacentral:rRNA from 1 species
UCAGGAUGAACGCUAGCUACAGGCUUAACACAUGCAAGUCGAGGGGCAGCAUGGUCUUAGCUUGCUAAGAUUGAUGGCGACCGGCGCACGGGUGAGUAACGCGUAUCCAACCUUCCCUAUAGUAGGGGAUAGCCCGUAGAAAUGCGGAUUAAUACCCUAUGUUGUAUUUUGAGGACAUCUGACGAAUACCAAAGGUUCACCGCUAUAGGAUGGGGAUGCGUCUGAUUAGGUAGUCGGCGGGGUAACGGCCCACCGAGCCAACGAUCAGUAGGGGUUCUGAGAGGAAGGUCCCCCACAUUGGAACUGAGACACGGUCCAAACUCCUACGGGAGGCAGCAGUGAGGAAUAUUGGUCAAUGGGCGAGAGCCUGAACCAGCCAAGUAGCGUGCAGGAUGACGGCCCUAUGGGUUGUAAACUGCUUUUAUGCGGGGAUAAAGUGGGGGACGUGUCCCUUAUUGUAGGUACCGCAUGAAUAAGGACCGGCUAAUUCCGUGCCAGCCGCUGC